CCUACGGGAGGCUGCAGUGAGGAAUAUUGGGCAAUGGGCGAGAGCCUGAACCAGCCAAGCCGCGUGAAGGAUGACUGCCCUAUGGGUUGUAAACUUCUUUUAUAUGGGAGUAAAAUGUUCCACGUGUGGGAUUUCGUAUGUACCAUACGAAUAAGGAUCGGCUAACUCCGUGCCAGCAGCCGCGGUAAUACGGAGGAUGCGAGCGUUAUCCGGAUUGAUUGGGUUUAAAGGGAGCGUCGGUGGGUUGUUAAGUCAGUUGUGAAAGUUAGCGGCUCAACCGUAAAAUUGCAGUUGAAACUGGCAGUCUUGAGUACAGUAGAGGUGGGCGGAAUUCGUGGUGUAGCGGUGAAAUGCUUAGAUAUCACGAAGAACUCCGAUUGCGAAGGCAGUUCACUGGACUGCAACUGACGCUGAGGCUCGAAAGUGUGGGUAGCAAACAGGAUUAGAUACCCGGGUAGUC
rnacentral:rRNA from 1 species